rnacentral:tRNA from 11 species
CAGUGGCCGAGUGGAUAACGCGAUUGCGUUUGAAGCGAAAGUUACUGGGUUCGAGUCCCAGAGUGAA